AGUAAUGCAUAGAUAAUGUGCCCCUUAGUUCGGGAUAGCCACUGGAAACGGUGAUUAAUACCGGAUACUCCUUCUUGUUAUAAGACAAGUCGGGAAAGUUUUUCGCUAAGGGAUCAGUCUAUGUUCCAUCAGCUUGUUGGUGAGGUAAUGGCUCACCAAGGCUAUGACGGAUAUCUGGUUUGAGAGGAUGAUCAGACACACUGGAACUGAGACACGGUCCAGACUCCUACGGGAGGCAGCAGUGAGGAAUAUUGCACAAUGGAGGAAACUCUGAUGCAGCAACGCCGCGUGGAGGAUGACGCAUUUCGGUGUGUAAACUCCUUUUAUUAGGGAAGAUAAUGACGGUACCUAAUGAAUAAGCACCGGCUAACUCCGUGCCAGCAGCCGCGGUAAUACGGAGGGUGCAAGCGUUACUCGGAAUCACUGGGCGUAAAGGGUGCGUAGGCUGGCUUUUAAGUCAGAUGUGAAAUCCAAUGGCUCAACCAUUGAACUGCAUUUGAAACUGAAAGCCUAGAGUUCAGAAGGGGCAGAUGGAAUUAGUGGUGUAGGGGUAAAAUCCGUAGAUAUCACUAGGAAUAUCAAAAGCGAAGGCGAUCUGCUGGGAUGAUA
rnacentral:rRNA from 1 species